AGGUGACCGCGGAAGAUCAUUACCGAGUUGAUUCGGGCUCCGGCCCGAUCCUCCCACCCUUUGUGUCCUACCUCUGUUGCUUUGGCGGGCCGCGGUCCUCCGCGGCCGGCCCCCCCUCCCCGGGGGGUGGCCAGCGCCCGCCAGAGGACCAUCAAACUCCAGUCAGUAAACGAUGCAGUCUGAAAAACAUUUAAUAAACUAAAACUUUCAACAACGGAUCUCUUGGUUCUGGCAUCGAUGAAGAACGCAGCGAAAUGCGAUAAGUAAUGUGAAUUGCAGAAUUCAGUGAAUCAUCGAAUCUUUGAACGCACAUUGCGCCCUUUGGUAUUCCGAAGGGCAUGCCUGUUCGAGCGUCAUUACAACCCUCAAGCUCUGCUUGGUAUUGGGCACCGUCCUUUGCGGGCGCGCCUCAAAGACCUCGGCGGUGGCGUCUUGCCUCAAGCGUAGUAGAACAUACAUCUCGCUUCGGAGCGCAGGGCGUCGCCCGCCGGACGAACCUUCUGAACUUUUCUUCAAGGUUGACCUCGGAUCAGGUAGGGA
rnacentral:rRNA from 1 species